rnacentral:lncRNA from 1 species
ACCGACUUUCUUCUUUGUGGUGUUCUCAUUUUGAGGGCUAUGUCCCAAGAAGAGGGUGGAGAAGGAUGCAGAUUGAAGUGAAACUAGGUAGAGAAGAUGAUUUUUGGAAAGUUUCUCACAGAUUUGAGGGUUAGGGUUUGGAAUUUGGGGAAAUCAAGAAAAUGAGCCAUGAGAGCAAUAAAUUUGGGGAGAGUAGAUCUUGGUUUUGAGAGAUUUUGGGGUUUUUGGGAGAUCUAAGAUGAGGUUCCUAGGUUGGGAUGAGAGGAAGAAGAGUCAUUGGAUUUGAGAUGUCUCGAAAUCCCUUUUUAAUAGAAUAGGGUUCAGGUCGGCUCACUUAAAGAGAGCCUACCCGCAUGAAUGGGAUGCCCCAUCUAGGGCUGUAUCAGGAGAUGGAGAAAUUAUUUAAAAAAAGAAGAAAAAUUCAAAAUAAAAAAUUUGAAAUUGGUCAUAUCGAGUUGAGAGGAUUAUUGGGAGUCUAAAUAAAUUUUUAUAUAAUUUUUGAUUGAAUAUUUCAAUAAAAAAAAUUGAAGAAGGUAUCUGAAUAGCAUUGAUGAUUUUUAAUUAUCUUGAAAAAUUUUGAAAAAAUGAUAGAUGAC